CGGAGCCCGGAGCUCGGCCCCUGACGAGCCCGAACUCGUCAACUUCCUGUCGGUACUUGAAGAAGCGGAGCCAGGGCUGAGAUCCCGAAGGCGGGCGAGGUCUGGGAUGGGGCGGGGCCUAUGGGAGCGGGGCUGAAGCCCUGGGCCCGGCAGAGGAAGGUCGAGAUGGACCAUGUUGGGCCCCUUCUCUCCCCGCCCCCAGGCCGCAGUUCGGGGGCCACGCCCCGGCGUGCUCGGGUCACCGCGGGAAGCCCUUGAACCCCCUGGCGCCCGGCACCCACGUGCGGUAACCGCGGCUCCUCGAGAGCUCCAGGGAUGCGGAUCUACAGUAAGGGCUGUGGCCAGAUGAAUGAAUGCACAUUUUUUAGUGGGCAGAAAGAUGUUAGAAUUCAUGAAUUAGAAUAAGCACAAAGGAGGGCGAGAGGGGAGGCCGUGGAAGCCGCAUUCCUCCCCUUGCCUUGGGCGCCCACCCCCGAAGGGGCGCGUCCCCUCCCUGCUCCACUGCACGUGGGUGUUUAACCAGGGGAUAUCCAGUGCCUCAAGCACCACGACCCGGGAGAAAACUGAGUUGAGAAGGUCUUCUAACAAGCCUUUUGCACACCUGCCAUGUAUUUUGUCAGGCCUUGGGGAUGAAGGUGAGAAAUUCGAGAAUCCCCGGAGAUAACACAUCAGCAAAUAGUGCGCAGGCAGAACAAGCUGUUGGAGGUGAGAGACACAGAGCAGAGAAGCACCCGCACCUGGAGAGUCAGGAGGGCCUCACAUCAGAACGCCUGAGCAAAUACAGUUUUGAAGGAUACUAAUUUUUUAAAAAGUUCAUUCACAUGAGUUAGACAAAGAGAAAGAAGCAGGACAUUCUAGGAAGAAGGAACGGCCCAGGCAAAAGCGACGCGUACAUUGGCGUGGGUCCAUUCAAGAAUUGUGCCCACAAUAUACCAGGCACUUGUCCAGACCUGCAUCGUCCAAUGCCCACCUCGACCUCCCAAAGUGUUGGGAUUAGAGGCGUGAGCCACCGCGCCCUGCCUGCAUGUGGCUAUUGAGAUGUGCUGUAUGAUACACACCGGACUUUGAAGACUCAGUGUGAAAAAUAAAAAGAAUUUUAAGAGGGGUGGGGGUCGAGGGGAGGCAGAGCAGUAGGACAAAUAGCUAAUGCACGCAGGGCUUAAAACCUAGACAACAGGUUGAUGGGUGCAGCAAACCACCAUGACACAUGUUUAUCUAUAUAGCACCUACAUGUUCUGCACUUGUAUCCUGGAACUUAAAAUUAGAAAAAAAAAAUAAUAAAAGCCAACAUGGCAUUCAUUACUGCCAAAAAAAUUAAAACACAUUGUUAA
rnacentral:lncRNA from 1 species